rnacentral:rRNA from 1 species
AGAGUUUGAUCAUGGCUCAGGAUGAACGCUGGCGGCGUGCCUAAUACAUGCAAGUCGAGCGAACCACUUCGGUGGUGAGCGGCGAACGGGUGAGUAACACGUAGGUGAUCUGCCCAUCAGACGGGGACAACGAUUGGAAACGAUCGCUAAUACCGGAUAGGACGAAAGUUUAAAGGUGCUUCUGGCACCGCUGAUGGAUGAGCCUGCGGCGCAUUAGCUAGUUGGUAGGGUAAAGGCCUACCAAGGCGACGAUGCGUAGCCGACCUGAGAGGGUGAACGGCCACACUGGGACUGAGACACGGCCCAGACUCCUACGGGAGGCAGCAGUAGGGAAUCUUCGGCAAUGGGCGAAAGCCUGACCGAGCAACGCCGCGUGAAUGAUGAAGGCCUUCGGGUUGUAAAAUUCUGUUAUAAGGGAAGAACGACUUUAGUAGGAAAUGGCUAGAGUGUGACGGUACCUUAUGAGAAAGCCACGGCUAACUACGUGCCAGCAGCCGCGGUAAUACGUAGGUGGCGAGCGUUAUCCGGAAUUAUUGGGCGUAAAGAGCGCGCAGGUGGUUGAUUAAGUCUGAUGUGAAAGCCCACGGCUUAACCGUGGAGGGUCAUUGGAAACUGGUCGACUUGAGUGCAGAAGAGGGAAGUGGAAUUCCAUGUGUAGCGGUGAAAUGCGUAGAGAUAUGGAGGAACACCAGUGGCGAAGGCGGCUUCCUGGUCUGUAACUGACACUGAGGCGCGAAAGCGUGGGGAGCAAACAGGAUUAGAUACCCUGGUAGUCCACGCCGUAAACGAUGAGUGCUAAGUGUUGGGGGUCGAACCUCAGUGCUGAAGUUAACGCAUUAAGCACUCCGCCUGGGGAGUACGGUCGCAAGACUGAAACUCAAAUGAAUUGACGG